rnacentral:rRNA from 1 species
GUCUCAAAGAUUAAGCCAUGCAGGUCUAAGUAUAAGCCGAAAUAAAGUGAAACCGCGAAUGGCUCAUUACAUCAGUUAUGGUUCCUUAGAUCUUCGGUAUCCUACUUGGAUAACCCUGGAAAUUCUAGAGCUAAUACAUGCGUAUGUAGCCCUGACCUUCGGGAACGGGCGUUUUUGUUAGACCAAAACCAAUCAGGGAGCAAUCUCUGGCAAUUUGGUGAGUCUGAACAACCUUGAGCGGAUCGCACGGUCUUGUACUGGCGACAACUCUUUCAAAUGUCUGCCUUAUCAACUUGAUGGUAGGUUAUGUGCCUACCAUGGUGAUAACGGGUAACGGAGAAUCAGGGUUCGAUGCCGGAGAGGGAGCCUGAGAAACGGCUACCACAUCCAAGGAAGGCAGCAGGCACGCAAAUUACCCACUCCCGGCACGGGGAGGUAGUGACGAAAAAUAACAAUACGGGACUCAUCCGAGGCCCCGUAAUUGGAAUGAGUACACUUCAAAUCCUUUAACGAGGAUCCAUUGGAGGGCAAGUCUGGUGCCAGCAGCCGCGGUAAUUCCAGCUCCAAUAGCGUAUAUUAAAGUUGCUGCGGUUAAAAAGCUCGUAGUUGGAUCUCAGUUACGGGCAGGUGGUUCACCUCACGGUGCUACUACCUGGUCCGGACCUAUUGCUGGUGCCCCCUAGGUGCCCUUCAUUGGGUGCCUGGGGAGACCAGAGCGUUUACUUUGAAAAAUUUGGAGUGCUCAAAGCAGGCGAAUGCCUGAACAGUCGUGCAUGGGAAUAAUGGAAAAGGGCCUCGGUGCUAUUUUGUGGUUCUCGGCACUCGAGUAAUGGUUGAAGGGACAGACGGGGCAUUCGUAAUGCGACGUUAGAGGUGAAAUUCUUAGAUCGUCCCAAGACGGACUACUGCAAAGCAUUUGCCAAGAAUGUUUUCAUUAAUCAAGAGCGAAGGUCAGAGGUUCGAAGGCGAUCAGAUACCGCCCUAGUUCUGACCUUAAACGAUGCCAACUGGCGAUCCGUCGGGGGUAAUUCCAUGACCUGACGGGCAGCUUCCGGGAAACCAAAAGUUUUUGGGUUCCGGGGGAAGUAUGGUUGCAAAGCUGGAACUUAAAGGAAUUGACGGAAGGGCACCACCAGGAGUGGAGCCUGUGGCUUAAUUUGGACUCAACACGGGAAACCUCACCAGGCCCAGACACUAGAAGGAUUGACAGAUUGAGAGCUCUUUCUUGAUUUGGUGGUUGGUGGUGCAUGGCCGUUCUUAGUUGGUGGAGUGAUUUGUCUGGUUAAUUCCGAUAACGAACGAGACUCUGGCCUACUAAAUAGAUGAUGGAUCUUUGAGUCCAUUAUGUCUUCUUAGAGGGACAAGGCAGCUCCAAGCUGCGUGAAAUGGGGCAAUAACAGGUCUGUGAUGCCCUUAGAUGUUCUGGGCCGCACACGCGCUACACUGAAGGAGACAACGUGUUUGUCUGGCUCGAAAGAGUCGGGUAACCCGUUUAAUCUCCUUCGUGCUGGGGAUUGAGGUUUGCAAUUGUCCCUCAUGAACGAGGAAUUCCCAGUAAGUGCAAGUCAUAAGCUUGCGCUGACUACGUCCCUGCCCUUUGUACACACCGCCCGUCGCUACUACCGAUUGAAUGAUUUAGUGAGGACUUCGGACUGAGACCGAUGCGGCUUUCGGGUUGCGUCGGAUAUUUGGAAAGAUGUCCAAAUCUGUAGCAUUUAGAGGAAU